GCGGGUUUUUUUUUCCCAAAGUACUGUAUUCAGAAAAAAAUGCAGAAUGAUUCAAAGGUUUUGUACAUGGCUUUUGCUUGAUAGUUU